rnacentral:rRNA from 1 species
GUUCAUAACCCUUUGUUGUCCGACUCUGUUGCCUCCGGGGCGACCCUGCCUUCGGGCGGGGGCUCCGGGUGGACACUUCAAACUCUUGCGUAACUUUGCAGUCUGAGUAAACUUAAUUAAUAAAUUAAAACUUUUAACAACGGAUCUCUUGGUUCUGGCAUCGAUGAAGAACGCAGCGAAAUGCGAUAAGUAAUGUGAAUUGCAGAAUUCAGUGAAUCAUCGAAUCUUUGAACGCACAUUGCGCCCCCUGGUAUUCCGGGGGGCAUGCCUGUUCGAGCGUCAUUUCACCACUCAAGCCUCGCUUGGUAUUGGGCAACGCGGUCCGCCGCGUGCCUCAAAUCGACCGGCUGGGUCUUCUGUCCCCUAAGCGUUGUGGAAACUAUUCGCUAAAGGGUGUUCGGGAGGCUACGCCGUAAAACAACCCCAUUUCUAAGGUUGACCUCGGAUCAGGUAGGGAUACCCGCUGAACUUAAGCAUAUCAU